UUCUAAUAUUCGACGUAUACUUCAGAAAAUAAGAAAUGAAAACCCCGAUCAACAUACUCUCAGAUGUAGUUGAAUGCUCAAAGAGAAAUGAUCUGUAUAGUUGAACAUUUUAGAAUCCAACGAAUUUUGCUAUUCGCUAUUGGCAUAUGGCCCUACAACCAAUCAAAAUUUGUCCGAUUUCAAUAUUCAGUGUUUUUGAUUGUUACAAAUAGCUUUAUUAUAUUUCAGCUAACACCGUUUAUAACUUCCAAAUGUACUAGUAAUUUUAUUAUAAAAAUUCUGUCUAACAUUUUCUUUUGUCUUUUCUGCGUAAUUCAUCAAAUUUCUUUUUGGAUUAACAUAGACGUUGUGAAAUCUCUUAUGGAGUGUCUCCAGCAUGCCUGUAACGACUUAAAAGACGAAAACGAAAUCGCUAUAAUAAAGAAAUAUGCAAACAGCGCGGAAUAUAUCACAAUUCUAGUUACACUAAUGGCGGGGUGCUGCGCAUUUAUUAUGACUCUUAUGCCAAUUUAUCCGCGGAUUCUUAGCACCUUUCUACUCGUAAAUAUAUCUCGACCACUUUACAAUAUGCAAUUCGUAACUGAAUAUUUUAUUGAUAAAGAAAAGAAUUUUUACUUACUUUUGCUACACACAUAUGCGUUCGUUUACGUUGCAAUAAUUGCGCUUGUGGGAGGAGGUAUGAUAGUAUGUGCAUACCUUAAACACAUUUCCGGACUAUUUAGCAUUGCUAGUUACCGUAUAGAACAAUCAAUGAUAUUAAAUAUUUAUGAAAAAACUGAUCUGAGGAACAAGAUGAUCGAGAAGAAGUUAUGUCUUGCAGUGGAUGUCCAUCGCACAGCCAUUGAGUUGUCUGACCUAUUUACGUCUACUUUUAAUGGAACAUACUUUAGUCUAAUUGUGAUAAGCGUACUUUGUUUAUGCCUUAGUCUAUAUGAACUACUUGAAACUGCAUUGCUCCGAGAAAAAGUAGAGGAAUUUCUAUUGCAUCUUAUAUUUGCAUCUGCUAUACUUGUAUAUUAUUAUCUGUCGAACUCUUGCGGUGAAGAAAUUAUACAGCACUACAGCAACAUGUUUUCUACUGCAUACAGCAUUCAGUGGUAUACGGCUCCUAUACGCAUACAGAAAUUCAUAUUGUUCCUGUUGCAAAGAAGCUGUAAGAUGCACUUUAUCAAAAUAGGUGGACUGUUUAUAACAUCUUUAGAGGGCUUUGCUUCGUUGUGUACUGCAUCGGUAUCUUACUUUACUGUUAUAUAUUCUGUACAGAAGUGAUACCAGUAUCAAUCAUCUGAUAGUAUACUGAAAAUAUUGUUUCUAUAUCUGUACAUAUAAAAGUAAUUGUUAAUUUACAUUUAAUAUCUUACAAACUGAAAUAUUUUCGCGGAACCUGCUAAACAUCUAUAAUCGUUAUGGAAAGGAUAUAUCCGCGGAUGUCAUAUAAUCAAAAUGAUCUUUAUUAGGAUAUAAUUAUAAAAUUGUUCUAUUAAAUUAUGUGCUAGGAAUAAAAUGCAGAACAUGAAGACGUACUGGAAAUGGUUGGAAAUGUCAAUUGCGCGAAGUUAGAUCAAGUUAUCAACUUAUCAAGUUAUCUACUUUUCUGUGAGAAAUAAAUAUAUGUUGUACUUUUAUGAA